CGUUUAGGGGUAAACCUGAGAAACCCGAAAGGUCGAAGGAAGAAAUUCAUUCGUGGAUCGUUAUUGACUGGAUUGUGUAUGUUUGACAAUGAAUAAAUUUAAAUUAUCUAUAUGGUGAUUUAGAUUUAUAAGUUGCUGCAUAUCUAUUCCAUUAUUGUUUGAUAGUGAACACGUGCAUUUUUCUUCUGGUAGGACGUUGCAAUCCGUUAGGAAUUUUAUCGAUCUAUGAUGUUUUAUGGUUUUUUAGUUCAUUGAUACAUUUUAUAGUAUUAUAAUAUGUCUAUAUUAAUGAAGCCGUACAUUCUGAUCGAUUUACCUGACGGUAUUAUAUAAGGUUAAAAGUCGCUACAUAUAUAAUUAGCGUUAGAGGUUGGACAAGUGUAUGAAUUGUGUAAAGACAAUAUUAUUAUUCGCGUAGUAAUGUUGUUCCCGUUAAUCGAUAUUUAUAUCAAUUUCGGGCCAUUUAUAUACUGUUUAUAGUUCAACAUAUCUCUAACAGACUUUAUUGUUAUUAUGACAAAACCAAUUUGCAACGCUAUAGCUUUGGGUACUUUCAGGACCCGUCUUGAAACACGGACCAAGGAGUCUAGCAUGUACGCAAGCCAUUGGGAUAUUUUUAAACCUAUAGGCACAAUGAAAGUAAAAAUUAUCAUUUCAUCUUGUAUGAAAUUGAAGGGAAGAUGAUUAAUUACGCACGUUUGUGCGUAUUAUUUCGCAUUCCCGGGGCGUUUAAAUUUCAUUUAAUUAAUUUUUUUUUAGAUGAGAUUAUGCGCACCAAGAGUGUACACGCUGGGACCCGAAAGAUGGUGAACUAU
rnacentral:rRNA from 1 species